rnacentral:rRNA from 1 species
AACGAACGCUGGCGGCAUGCCUAACACAUGCAAGUCGAACGAAGGCUUCGGCCUUAGUGGCGCACGGGUGCGUAACGCGUGGGAAUCUGCCCCUCGGUUCGGAAUAACAGUUAGAAAUGACUGCUAAUACCGGAUGAUGACUCCGGUCUAAAGAUUCAUCGCCGAGGGAUGAGCCCGCGUAAGAUUAGGUAGUUGGUGGGGUAAAGGCCUACCAAGCCGACGAUCUUUAGCUGGUCUGAGAGGAAGAUCAGCCACACUGGGACUGAGACACGGCCCAGACUCCUACGGGAGGCAGCAGUGGGGAAUAUUGGACAAUGGGCGAAAGCCUGUGCCAGCAAUGCCGCGUGAGAGAUGAAGGCCCCAGGGUUGUAAAGCUCUUGUACCAGGGAUGAGAAUGACAGUACCUGGAGAAUAAGCUCCGGCUAACUCCGUGCCAGCAGCCGCCGUAA